GCUUGAGUGUGGUAGGGGCAGAGGGAAUUCCCGGUGUAGCGGUGAAAUGCGUAGAUAUCGGGAAGAACACCAGUGGCGAAGGCGCUCUGCUGGGCCAUAACUGACGCUCAUGGACGAAAGCCAGGGGAGCGAAAGGGAUUAGAUACCCCUGUAGUCCUGGCCGUAAACGAUGAACACUAGGUGUCGGGGGAAUCGACCCCCUCGGUGUCGUAGCCAACGCGUUAAGUGUUCCGCCUGGGGAGUACGCACGCAAGUGUGAAACUCAAAGGAAUUGACGGGGGCCCGCACAAGCGGUGGAGUAUGUGGUUUAAUUCGAUGCAACGCGAAGAACCUUACCAGGGUUUGACAUCCUGCGAACCUCUUGGAAACGAGAGGGUGCCUUCGGGAGCGCAGUGACAGGUGGUGCAUGGCUGUCGUCAGCUCGUGUCGUGAGAUGUUGGGUUAAGUCCCGCAACGAGCGCAACCCACGUCUUUAGUUGCCAGCAUUUAGUUGGGCACUCUAGAGAGACCGCCGGUGAUAAACCGGAGGAAGGUGUGGAUGACGUCAAGUCAUCAUGCCCCUUACAUCCUGGGCUACACACGUACUACAAUGCUACGGACAAAGAGCAGCAAGUUCGCGAGGACAAGCAAAUCUCAUAAACCGUGGCUCAGUUCAGAUCGUAGGCUGCAACUCGCCUACGUGAAGGAGGAAUCGCUAGUAAUCGCAGGUCAGCAUACUGCGGUGAAUACGUUCCCGGGCCUUGUACACACCGCCCGUCACACCAUGGAAGUUGGCCACGCCCGAAGCCGUUACUCCAACCCUUGUGGAGGAGGACGUCGAAGGUGGGGCUGAUGACUGGGGUGAAGUCGUAACAAGGU
rnacentral:rRNA from 1 species